rnacentral:rRNA from 1 species
UGAGGAGUAUUGCACAAUGGGCGCAAGCCUGAUGCAGCAACGCCGCGUGAGGGACGAAGGCCUUCGGGUCGUAAACCUCUUUUCUGGGGGACGAGUAAGGACGGUACCUCAGGAAUAAGUCUCGGCUAACUACGUGCCAGCAGCCGCGGUAAAACGUAGGAGGCGAGCGUUAUCCGGAUUUACUGGGCGUAAAGCGUACGCAGGUGGCUUCGUGAGUCGGACAUGAAAGCUCCCGGCUUAACUGGGAGAGGUUGUUCGAUACUGCGAGGCUUGAGGUUGGGAGAGGGACGUGGAAUUCCCGGUGUAGUGGUGGAAUGCGUAGAUAUCGGGAGGAACACCAGUGGCGCAAGCGGCGUCCUGGCCCACACCUGACGCUGAGGUACGAAAGCGUGGGUAGCAA